rnacentral:rRNA from 1 species
AGUGAACGCUGGCGGUAGGCCUAACACAUGCAAGUCGAACGGCAGCACAGGAGAGCUUGCUCUCUGGUGGCGAGUGGCGGACGGGUGAGGAAUACAUCGGAAUCUACUCUGUCGUGGGGGAUAACGUAGGGAAACUUACGCUAAUACCGCAUACGACCUACGGGUGAAAGCAGGGGACCUUCGGGCCUUGCGCGAUUGAAUGAGCCGAUGUCGGAUUAGCUAGUUGGCGGGGUAAAGGCCCACCAAGGCGACGAUCCGUAGCUGGUCUGAGAGGAUGAUCAGCCACACUGGAACUGAGACACGGUCCAGACUCCUACGGGAGGCAGCAGUGGGGAAUAUUGGACAAUGGGCGCAAGCCUGAUCCAGCCAUACCGCGUGGGUGAAGAAGGCCUUCAGGUUGUAAAGCCCUUUUGUUGGGAAAGAAAUCCAGCUGGCUAAUACCCGGUUGGGAUGACGGUACCCAAAGAAUAAGCACCGGCUAACUUCGUGCCAGCAGCAGCCGCGG